AUGGCGGCCGCACUUCUCGCCGCCGCGCCCUCGCCUCUCCCGCCGGCAUCCUGGAGACGGAGGCCUCUCCUCGCGGCCCUGCCGCCCGCUCUCCGCUGCCUCAGGGCUCCAACCUCCGCUCCUCCCGGAACCCCGCCGCCUCCCCGCAGAGCUCUCGCUCCCGUCUCCAGAGCCGCGCGCGGAGCGGCGCUGGCGCGAGGCAGGGGUGAGGUGACGGGGAAGUCCGGCCAGGCGCCCCGCGAUUGGGGCGCGCUUGCGAGGAGGCUGGCGCUGGGCGCGCUCCUGGGCUCCGCCGCCCUGCUCGGCUGCCGCGGCGCGGCGCUCGCGGCGGCCGAGGACUCCAUCAAGGCGUCCGGGUUCGGGCUGCGGGUCGCGGCGUCGCUGCGGAGCCUCGGCUGGCCCGACGACGCCGUCGUGUUCACGCUGGCCACAUUGCCGGUGCUCGAGCUGCGGGGGGCGAUUCCGGCCGGGUAUUGGAUGCGCCUUCACCCCGUCCGGCUGACCGUCCUCGCAGUUUUGGGCUUCUUCGGCAGUCCCGGAGCUUUUGUGGUGAAUUUUCUCCAAACCUUGCCAGACAAAGAAAACAAUUACUUGAUAUCAGGAAAUGAACAAAGUUGCUGA
rnacentral:rRNA from 1 species